rnacentral:lncRNA from 1 species
UGGGGGGGGCUAUGGUUUUUUUUGGAAAAAAAAGUUUGUUUCCAGUUUUUGGAGAAAAAAAUAAUUUGUUUUUGAUUCUGAGAAAAAAAAAUUGUUUGUUUCACCCUCAGCUGCCACUAUAUGUAAUGCUAAAAUUGAAAGAAAAAAAUUGUUUUCGACUUGUCGCGAAAAAAAUAGAUUGUUUUUCGCCGCAGGCGAAAAAAAAAGUUUGUACAGAAAAAAAAACCAUAGCCCCCCCCCAGAAAAUCAAAUGGUUGCUGCCUAAGGGGACAGGAUGU